CACAACAUUGGAGUCUUUGCAAACUUUGUUCAAAAACUACAACUAUUUGACACAAAACCACGACUGACAGCAAGCACAGACAAACAAGUCACUGAAAGAAACCAAAUCCUGCGUGGAUCUUUCUCCUGACAGACGCCUAAAAUGGCUCGAGCUGUGGAAAAUCCACAUCUUAAGAGGUUUAACUCACAAAGCAGCUCAGAUGUCAGCAGUGACAGCAAGUACUGCUUCCAGGAUGUGGGGAUCUUACCGCCUCCUAAACGUAUGAGGCUGAUGACGUGGGAUCUU